rnacentral:rRNA from 1 species
UGGGGAAUUUUGCGCAAUGGGGGAAACCCUGACGCAGCAACGCCGCGUGAGUGAUGAAGGCCUUCGGGUCGUAAAGCUCUGUCAGAGGGAAAGAAGUGCAGUGGUGCUAAUACCAUCAUUGCUUGACGGUACCCUCAAAGGAAGCACCGGCUAACUCCGUGCCAGCAGCCGCGGUAAUACGGAGGGUGCGAGCGUUGUUCGGAAUUAUUGGGCGUAAAGCGCGUGCAGGCGGUCUUUUAAGUCUGAUGUGAAAGCCCCGGGCUCAACCUGGGAAGUGCAUUGGAAACUGAAAGACUUGAAUACGGGAGAGGGUAGUGGAAUUCCUAGUGUAGGAGUGAAAUCCGUAGAUAUUAGGAGGAACACCGGUGGCGAAGGCGGCUACCUGGACCGAUAUUGACGCUGAGACGCGAAAGCGUGGGGAGCAAACAG